rnacentral:Y_RNA from 1 species
AGCCUGAUCUGAUGGUAGUGGGUUAUCAAAGCAUACCAUUGUGACACUAAAAUUAGUCUACAACCCGUCACUGCUAAAUUUGACUGGCUUAAA